AUUGAACGCUGGCGGCAGGCUUAACACAUGCAAGUCGAGCGGUAACAGAGAGAAGCUUGCUUCUCUGCUGACGAGCGGCGGACGGGUGAGUAAUGCCUAGGAAUCUGCCUAGUAGUGGGGGAUAACUUGCCGAAAGGUAAGCUAAUACCGCAUACGUCCUACGGGAGAAAGGAGGGGACCUUCGGGCCUUUCGCUAUUAGAUGAGCCUAGGUCGGAUUAGUUAGUUGGUGAGGUAAUGGCUCACCAAGACCGCGAUCCGUAACUGGUCUGAGAGGAUGAUCAGUCACAAUGGAACUGAGACACGGUCCAGACUCCUACGGGAGGCAGCAGUGGGGAAUAUUGGACAAUGGGGGGAACCCUGAUCCAGCCAUGCCGCGUGUGUGAAGAAGGUCUUAGGAUUGUAAAGCACUUUAAGUUGGGAGGAAGACCAGUUAACUAAUAUUUGACUGUUUUGACGUUACCGACAGAAUAAGCACCGGCUAACUUCGUGCCAGCCGCCGCAGUAA
rnacentral:rRNA from 1 species